CCUACGGGUGGCAGCAGUAGGGAAUCUUCCACAAUGGACGAAGGUCUGAUGGAGCAACGCCGCGUGAGUGAUGAAGUAUUUCGGUAUGUAAAGCUCUAUCAGCAGGGAAGAAAAUGACGGUACCUGACUAAGAAGCCCCGGCUAACUACGUGCCAGCAGCCGCGGUAAUACGUAGGGGGCAAGCGUUAUCCGGAUUUACUGGGUGUAAAGGGAGCGUAGACGGUCCUGCAAGCCAGAUGUGAAAGCCCGGGGCUCAACCCCGGGACUGCGUUUGGAACUGUAAGGCUAGAGUGUCGGAGAGGCAGGCGGAAUUCCUAGUGUAGCGGUGAAAUGCGUAGAUAUUAGGAGGAACACCAGUGGCGAAGGCGGCCUGCUGGACGAUGACUGACGUUGAGGCUCGAAAGCGUGGGGAGCAAACAGGAUUAGAUACCCGUGUAGUC
rnacentral:rRNA from 1 species